AUAUAUUACAUUUUUUUUUUUAGUGUACGUAUUUAACAUAAAUGUAUGUUUAUAUUGAAAAUACAAUAUUAAAGCUUUUGAAAUGUAUUUAACAGUAUCACAUGAUCCUUUUGCGCUUUCCUUUUAUAUAAUGUUCUCAUAAGUGUUAUUGUUCGAUAAUUUGGUAAUGGUAAAUCGAUACUUAACGCUGGCCAAUUUGCCAGAACUUUGAGUUACGAUCAGUUACCAGUUAAUGAGUGUUCAUGCUAAGGUAAACAGCGUCUUCAAACGUAGGGCUAUUGUCGGAGAUGCUAUGUCAUAUUGAUGGCAACAAGAUACGCCCGUGGACACAAACGGCAAGGAAGUCCCGUCAGCUACGUAACAUUAAACACUUCCACGGGCCAAGGUGGUGCAAGUGAAAUUACGAGCGGUUCGUUGGAGAGUUUAACUUCAAGGCUCUUGAAACGACGUACCUAUAUACGAGAUGUUCGUUUCAUUUCCAUCACCGGCAGUUACCUAUCCGUAUGUAUUCUUAGGUCGUAGGAAGCGGUUUCUUUUUCAAAUGGAAGUCAAAUAAUUUUAGGAUCCAUCUGUGUGAAAUACGACGUGUGUGCUGAAGCAUUUUCAAGAACGUUUAAAAGCAAUAUUUAUUAGAGUUGUGAUAUCAAAACUGGUACUAUAAGAUUAUUGAAAUCAAUUAUUUUUCUCAGAAAUUAUAAAGAUUUAGAUCAAGUAAAUAUAUAUAAUUUCAUGAAUUGCUAGUAGUAAUUAUGCACGUUAACGAGAAACGUAUGUUUCUCAAUAUUAUCUCUGAUAGCAUUUUGCGUAUCAAAUGAAAUGACCUCUCAACGCUCUUCAGAUUCUUUUUUAAGGAUUUAAUCGAUCCCCCUGCUAUUCAACUUCGGUUCCAACAAAAUGUUCGUUUCUCUGCCAUUGCGCGAGAUAUCGCAUUGGAGCAGGGAAAACAGGUCACCCUGUACGGGGGUGAGAGAAACAGAAAGCGCUUCGGGCCACGUAGCGUGUUCAACAGCAAGCAGAGAGAGAGAGAGAGAGAGGUAGAGAGAGAAAGGAAGAGGGGAAGGGGGAGAAAAGGAGAGGAAUGAGGGGCAACAGGAUAAAGUAACGUUGGAACGAGAAGGGGGUGAAGGCAGUGGAGGAAGACGCGGUGGAAGUUAGGUAUAGAUUAUUGUUAGAAGGUUGUUGAGCCAGCAAUAUAUCUUUGGAACUCUGCCUCGCUCUCUAUGAACUCGCCUUUCUACUACGCUAGGUACAUACCUCACUAGACGCGACUCUCAACGCGAGUAGACACCCACGUUGCCAAUGCCUGGAACGUCUAACCCUUCGGAGACUAGCUGCUUGCCGCAGGGGCGCAUCUGCGUGACGGCCAGCGCGACUUAAUCCCCUCGAUGGGAAUAAUCGUUCGUAGACACCGUCCAUACCUCAGGAGACGUCCGCAGACCACGUUUUCGAGCUCCUAGAACGGUAGCGGUAAAAACUUAUCGGCGUUUUUCAUCCGCAUUAGUUUUUACCGCGUUUGGUCGAUAAUGCAUCGUUAUUCGAUAACGCCGGGACGUAGCGUCCGUUAGAUUCCCGUCGGGUGUUAUUGGCACACCGGGGGAUUGAAACAUUGGGCGCAGUUUGCAGGCCGCUUCACGUCCCAAUUUCAUAUAAACGGUUAAGCCUCUGGGUUUCUGAGGAAUCCGUCCCUGAGCCUCAACGCCGUUUCAUUCUCUUUAUUUUCCCGGGCAUCCCGUGUCAGCUGAUUCGCCCUAGAGGAAGGAUAUCCCCGUUGUAUGCCUGGUCGGCGCAACGGCGGAAUCCAAUGUGAUUCCCGACGCCGCUGUACUUUAAUAAGAGACGUAAGGGAGAGAAAGAGAGACGCGCUUAGGGGCCGCGAUAAAUGCGCCACGAUAAAUAAGAAUUAAGCUAGCCCCAUUGCGUUCAGUGGGCGUGAAGCAAAGGUAAACGAAGGGAGAGAAAAAGAGACGCUAGUAAAGAUUGACAGGUUGGACUGUUGCCGGGGGGAAAACCGUCAGACUAUUUCGCAUUCACUCCACUUUCUGUUCUCAUGGUUUGGCACCGUUUCCUACUCCUCAAUAUCGAUUGGUCGGAGAAACAAGUGAAUGUAUCACGUAUGUUCGGUUUACUAAGAAUUUUUCAUUUUAGCAGAAUAAUAUUGUUUGAAGAGAAUAAUUAAUAUUUCUGUACUGGCAUUAAUUAUUGAUGUCAAUUAUUUGAGUCGUAAUUAAGGUACUGAAAAUACUGAAAAUAUUGAAAAGAAUGUAAUAAAUUUGAUAAAUAAAUUAGAUUUGUAUUUGAUUUUUAUUAAUUAAUUAUACCCAAUUGGAAUACUGAUUAAGAGUCCGUUUUCUUCAGAUACGUGAAAAUUUUUAAUAUUCUAAAUAUUUGUAGAAAUAUUCAGCAAUAGAAAUAAUAGAUAUAUGAAGUUAUCUUUUGUUAAUAUGUGUAUUUUUGCUAUAUAGGUAUAAUUGAUCGUCGUAGCAAAUAUAAUUAUUUUAAUCUUUAUAUUUUAACAAUUUAUACUUGACAUUGUUACCAGUACAAUUUUAUUAUUAAUCCAAUAAUUUUGUUAUUUUAUUGUCAUAUUAUUUGAAAUUUUAGUUAUUUAAAGUGAGAGGAUUGAAUAUAAACCGAAUAAAGUUGCUCGGUAAAAAUUAUAAUAGAUGAAUGAACAGUACAAUAAAUUAUAUACAAAAUUUUAAAAUAUAUUUAUUAUCCAAUAAUGUACCAAUUUUUAUAUUUUUAAAUAAAGUAAGUUUCAUAUUGCAUGUCAAUUUUGUGCGCGUUUAUGCGAUGGGAAUUAUUACGCUUUGCUUGAAUAAGAAAUAACGUAAUCUUCAUUUAUUUUAAUUCCUUUUUCGAACAUGUUCUCAAUUUUUCUUUCUCAUGAAACUCACAAUCAACCCUCAAUUGCUUUUGUUUCCUGUCCAACUUCUCGUCAACGAAUUAAUCAAAUACGUUCUGACAGUUUCCUUGAAGGCGUUUCAGAGUAAAAUUUAAACUUGUUGAAGUAGGUUGUUUAAACUGCAGCUUUUAAAUUUCCUUUCUCAUCGAGUCACGGUGUCGGGCGAGGGCUGCACGCGAUGAAUAUUUCACAAAAUAAAAUAAUAGGCAGAUAUCAUGAGAUUACGUGUAAAAGAGGUGCUAUCGUUAUGAAUCUCGUUAUUCGCAACAACUAUCCUGCCGUAAAGUGUUAAUCGAUUGUAUCGAGUGCUCAAGGCAACGGUGUCCAGGUCGACCGUUCGAUCACGAUUUACGAUCGAUAAAUGUCACUUAAAAUGCCACCUCGCUGUAGAAAAAAGUAGAACGCGGCAACCGUGCGGCCGUAACCGCCGUAAAAUAUACUAACACCGAAAAAUGUAACUGGAAUUUAUGAGUUGAGAGUGAAACGAAAUUUUGUAUAACGCGCGUCGGAUAAAAUAUGUACGUGAUUUUUCUCAUUAUUCUGUUUAUGCCGCCGGGGGGAAAAAAAGAGAUGUACUUAUCGCAACGGUAACCAGCGCCGGCUUGUUAUUGCGAGAACAUUUAUCUGCUGCAAAACACAGCGAUAAUGGCAAAGAAAUGAGUACUUUUCUCCGGUAUUUUUCUUUUUUUUCCGUCUACUGAUAAGAUUUGUCUUGUAUAUAAAUAUAUAUAUAGAGAAAGAGAGAGAGAGAGAGAGAGAAAAUGGGAGAGAAAACUUGCAAUUUUGGCAACUUUAUUUUACGUCGAAAUUUCUCCUUUUCAAUGUCCGUCGUAGACCUUGCCGGUUUCAAAACGUAAUGCGACGCAGAUGCAAUUCUAUGUAAACGUGAAACCCAAUUCAAGCAAGAUUAUUAUUCCAUUUAAUCGCUCGAAAAUAUCCGCCGUUGUCGAGGUCAAGGAUUAAAAGCUCGUUGAAACGGCUCAUCCAGUACGUAGCUUUUCAUUCCGCAAAAGCGCUUGUUUUCGAUAGCGGGAUGGAUUUUCAAUCUACACGUAUUUCAUGACACAUUCGACGAAGUAAAUAUUAUUUAAUAAACGAUACGAGCGCAGAAACAGCGGAAAACGGGAACGGGAUGGAAAGUCGAGCCGAAUGCAAGGAAAAACGCACUUCGCUCCCAAGAGUGUAACCGGUUAUACGAAGGAGAAAAUGAAGGGUGUGGAAGGGAAAAAAGGAGAGAAGAAAAAGUACGACGCCCACACGGGCAAGGAAACCAGGUCCUUGAGGCAGUUUUACGUUGGGUUGCAACUAUGUCGCAAAGCAAAUUGGAUCCGAUGACAUGAGCGGGGAAUAAUGCAAAAACAUGUUCUUUUAUGGUAACUCGCAGGAGACGAUAUCAACAAUUUCUCACCGAUCUACUUGCCGCGAACCUACUCUUUUUAUUUUGCUCUUUAAACGGAUCACAUUAUCACCGUCUCUUCUCGUUUUCUGCGAAAAAAAAAAAAAAAAAAAAAAAACGAGAGUUAGAAAAGGAGCCGGUUCCGCCACUUUAGAUUUCGCUAAUACAACUGCACUUUUAGAUAGAAUUAAUGUUACUAAAAUUCAACAGAGAUAAUCAACAUAAAUUCAGCGAAAUAAUGUCUCGCGAUAAUAAAUUGUAUUCACGAGAUAUUAAUCGCGACAUAAUAAUGAAUUGCCCUGUUACAAAGUUUUCUUGAGAUCAAGAUUUCCACGAGACUCACGACAAGCGUAACUUUUGUGACGCGUUUUUGAAUUUUAAUAAUUUUAUCGUGUGAAUGAGUAACGAGACUAAAAUAUAUAUUUUUUUAAAUUUAUAUAAAUUUAUUUUUUAUGGUACAUUCGUGGAAUAUAUAGGUAUGUUAAUUUGGACUAAAGUAAAAUAAGUUAUAACAUUAAAAUUUUUUUAAGUUCGAAUUUAAUUCGAAGAUAAUUGAUUUAAAGUUAAUUAAAACAAACACACGUCAAUAAAUUAUUGAUGUUUUGAAGUAUAUAAUUCUCACUAACAUAAUAAAUUACUUAACAUUUUAUCAAUUUUCAGAAUUAAUGUCAAUGCAUAAUACUAUUAAUUAAAAUAUUCCGUCACCGCCUCUUCUGAUCUUUUCAUAAUACUUUAUAGGUGAUAAUUUAAAUAUACGCAUCAAUAAUUUUACAAUAUUUCGUUAUAAUGAUAUCUCCGAGAAAGUUAAUUUCUUUAGCUUUUUAAGUCCGAAUAAUCUGCCGUUAUAAUACUACAGAGGAAUUACAGAGUGUCCGUCGUGCAUGUUACCUUCUCAUUAUUCUUACUUUGCUUAGGGCGCUCUCCGCUUCUCCGACGCGCGAGAAUUUCCACUUUGUUCUUUGAGUUUCAUCCGUGGAAUUCCCUGGUAGCCUUUCGGCGAUUAGAGAUCUAGGAUUAGUUAGUAAUGUCGGAAGGGACCCUUCGGCGUCGAAUUGCAUUUAACAACUGAAUGAACGAGAACGAAUUUAAGGAAGACUAAGGGCUCUUUCAUCGAAAUAGUUUUCGAUGCCUGAAUCCAAGUGGCGUUUCGCGGAUGCCGCAUGCCGUUUCACAGCAGCAAAUGAAUUACACUUGCAAUGUGCACAUAUGUACGAAUAAAAUCUGAGUUUUGUAGUUUUCUAUAUAUUUGUAAUCAUAUACAUUAUUAAGUAUUUUUAUAGAUAAAAUAUAAAAUACAGAGUUUUAUAUUAUUACAUAUAAGAAAUUAAAAACAUAUUUUUUAAAAUAAUGAGAUAUAACGAGAUUGUAUUGUAUCAGCAGCAUUUCUUUCAUAUUGUAAUAAAAAGAUGUUAAUACCAAAGAAUUAAUCAAUGCCGAAGAAGAUAUCAACACGCGAUAAAAAUUUCCUGAACAAUUGACUUGUAUUUCUCACAAGAUAAUAAUUAUUUUCGUUAAUGUAAGGAUGUGUCUACUCAUAUACAUAAUAAUUAAAAAAAUACAAAUAAGUAAUUUCCGUAAAAAAUUGUGUUACAAGCGUAAUCUAUUUAGAAUAAAACAUUCAUUUGUUUGAUCCGAUGACAAUCCAUACAUACUUUUCAAAACGUAAUGAGUUUCUUUUUGCGACUUCGACUACGUUAACAAUGUACACAGAGAAAUUAGAACAAACGAGAAUAGCUUUAGUCUUGAAAUUUUCUCGAAAGCUUUGGCCUCGUUUCACAAGAUACUCCGCAACGUGACGCCGUUCCUCUUUCCGUCACGGAAAUCCGCAGCUUUCUAAACGUUGAGGUAAGUCUCUGAACCAUUACGUAACUAAUUUUAGCUAUCCCCUCGACACUGCAUUUUGUUAAUGACACAUCAUACACAUUGGUUGCCUGUUGUAUUAUCGGUAAAUUAUGAAUUUAAAUAAUUUCGAUUAAUAUUAAUUACGUUUGCAAGUAAACAAGGGUGGAAAUUAAUCUAGAAACAAUAUAUAAUAAUAAAGAAUGUAAUAUAAUCAUCCGUUUCAAAUUUUAACAACAGAUGUAAUGCAUUAAUAGAUGUAAUCUAAUUAGGGCGUUCUGCUUUAAUGAUUCUGCUUUCAGAAACUUUUUCUUUUAAAUCAAAAUAAAUAUUUAAUAUUGUUGAAACUAUCAUAUAUUUGAAUAAGAAAUUUAUUCAAAACAGUAAUAGAGAGUUGUAAAAAAAGAUGAGACACAAUUCGACUUAGUGAUAAACAGAACGCUUUGAUUUUGAAUAAUCUUCAUAAAUCUCAUUAGAAUUUAUGAAAAACGUGCAUUACCAAUAACUAUAUCCACAAAUUUUAAUUAAAACUAACUUUAUAUUGAAGAAUUGACGAAUUAUUUAGCUAUAUUUAACUCUUACAAUUCUUCGUUUUGUUUUUUAAAUAAUUGUUUAAAUUUGCUUUUUAACAAUAUAAAUGUAUGUAUGUAACAAAAUUCGUUUUCGACUGCGGAACAUUCUUUGGCACUUUGCUCAAGAACAGAAAAAGCCGAAAGUUAAACGACUGAUCGUUUUAUCGAUGGAAGAACAAAGCUGUCCAAAGACAAUCCUUCGGGAACGAACACGUGUGCAUUACAGGAGCGUUUAGUGCUUAUCGAGAGAAAGCAGGUCAGUCGUUGAGCUUUUCAUAUUAGAUAACUGUAAAAGAGGUAUUUCACGAAGGCUGUGCUUACAAAUUUAGAAAAGUCAUAAUAUAAUAGAAAAUGUGAAUUUAAAUUAAAAUGCUUAUUAUAUUAAAGAAUUUUUAAUAAAACAUUUUCAUUUAUUCGCGGAAGGCAUCAGAAAUAGAUCGCGUGACUUUUCACUUAAUUUCUUUCGAUAUUGGAAAAAGUAUAUAGAAGCACACAGGAAGGAGUGAUAUUUAAACAAUAUGAAAAAAAGUUGCUUUAUACGCUCUAAAUAAAAUUUUUCUCUGCAUAAAUAAUUUGCGACAUACAACGCGCUUGACAUAAAUAAGUUUGUAGUUGACCCGAUUGUUCAUUUCAUAAUAAAUUUACAUGAUUGUAUUUGGUAAUAUAAAAAUAUAUAUAUUUUUUAAAAAACUUUUUUUUAGCUUUUAUGGAAAUACGUUUGUAAUUUUUAUUAAAAAUGCAUAGAAUAAGUCGUGCAGUAUCACAGCGACCGUACAAACUUUAAUAUAAAGGAUAAUAGUCCUUUAUUACAGGCGGCUGUUCUUCACAUUUAUUUAUAUUUUUUUCAAAACUUAAUAUUCUUUACUUUAUUUUAACAAUAGGAAAAUUCUUUUCUAAUUCCAAACUCUGAGAGACGAUGGAUUUACGAGCACGACGGACUCGUGGAAGUCGCGUCCGGCAUUUGAUUUCAAGUGUCGACGCUUGUCCCAAGUUUUUUCCCCGUCGAGGAUAAGAGCGAGGCUCGUGCCGGCGACGCGACUAGAACUUUUUUCUAUUCGGCGAAAUACCGACUCCCGAAGAAGCCAAUCAGUUACUCGCUUCUCACCAUAACCUUGGCCGCUUUCCACUGUUUACCACGCUCCGGCUCAGUUCCGUCGCGAGGGCACGUUGUUUCGUGUUUUAUUUAUCCCGCGUACAGUGCGCGAGAUUUCAGUGUCGUGAAGUGCGUGGCGUUCGACGCACGUUCGCGGUUCACUUCGCAGCGUCCGUCGCUCGUAUCCGACGGUGGCACGGUGUGUUUCGCGUUCGUCGUUUCGUCGAUGUGACACGUUAAUUGAGCUCUCAAAAGCGAUGCUCGAGCCUCCCUCGCGCAUACGUCGCGGUCAGUCUCUUUUUUUCCAAAAAGUGUAUCGCGCGAGCUCGCAAUUCGUUUCCCCUUUCCGUUACUUCCGCAUUUUCUGAAGGUUAAGUUUUUCCCGUCGGGACGAAAUAUUGUUUAUCUCGUGCGUCUUUUUAUCCGUCGCAAGCGUAUUAUCGCGAAGAACGAAGAACAAGUAACUUGGUGUGUUCGUCAGUCCGAUAGGUAUGAGAAACAGAGGCAACGUCGUGUAUGUGAAAUGCGCGGAGAAUAUUCAGUGUCGUGAAGUGCGUCGCGCUCGAUGCACGCAUCGCGUCUCACUUCGCAGCGCGCGUCCGUCGCAUCAUUGUCCGUUGGCGAUAUCGCGUUCUUCGUUUUGCGUUAAUUAAGAUUUGAAAAGUGAUGUCCGAGCCUCACUUGUGUCCUAUCGCUGCUAGUUUCUCUUCGACAAACCGUUUCCCCUUCCAUUAUUUCUCGUAAAUACCUCAGUCCCGUCGCGAAGACGGGAGGAAGUAUGCGGGAUCGGAGUGCCCGUCGGAAUUCGCGAUUUCACUUCUCCUUACUCUUUUAUUUAACGUUUUCAAGUGGACGUCACAUGCGAACGAGUAUCGGGGACUGAAUCGGGCAAACAGGCGAUCACUCCGCGUGCCUUUCGGUUCGCGCGAUCAUGUAAAAUUCGUAAGUGACGAGAACCUAACCUAACCUAACCUAAUCGUCCGGUCGCUUGCAUUUACGGCGAUGUAUGUCACGCGAGUGUUAGUGAUGGUGCGGUAGCAAUCAAGGAUACACAUACUGCAGCACAGCAAGGAAAGGGACAUCCGGAAGGCAAUUGUGACGCAGCUGAGCGAGUCCGGAACAGUGAGAUGCGGGCGAGAAUAUCGCAUUCGGGAAUGCAGCGAUAUAAUCCCCCAGCUUCAAUGGAUAAUGAUGAUGAUGAUGAUGCCGGAAACUGGCCCGCCAAAACUUAACAGCACGCAAGUGGAAAGUGAGAGCCACUCUCGGCCACACUCAUUGAGACUUCGUUCCUACAGUUUCGGUAAGCUCGAUAUCGCGUGACGAAACUUAUUGGAAAAGUUCCUCUCUCCUCUUCCCUUUCUCACGAGAGUCGGAAGUACGUUCGAGUGGAUUUGUCGUUGUUACGGAAUAAGGAUGAAACACUUGAAAUAUACAAUAUUGUGGUAAUAAAGAUGGACUUUCGUAAUGAGAAAGAAAGAGGGAAACGUUUCGUACGCAUGCCGUCCCUUCGCGGAAGUUCGAAUCGGCACGGCGCGCUGGUUAUUGGAAAAGUUUCCUUUCCACCGAUAAAACCUCUUAAUUCAUGGUGAUUUCCCAUUGGCAGGUGCUAACUUAAUAAUCUCCUCGGAUUGCCGGAAAAUUACGACAUAGAUUAAAACAUAAACUUUCGCUCUAUAUAUCAAGAGUGAAAGGCAAUUUUAAAUACAACUACAAUUGCGUUGCGGAAAUGGUAGCCUCAAUUGUGUCCGUAUUGUUUGACAUUUAUUUUAACUUCUGUCAUUCAUUUCGAUUCCUUAAAUUCUUUUACGAUAUGAAAUAACUGUAUGCUAUGAUAAAAAAUGUAACGAUGUAACGCGCUUUUAAUUUCUUAUUACAUAUGAAAUAUGAGAGACAAAGAGAGAUGGGAAGGGAAGGGGGAUACAGUUCUGUAAAGUAUUCUCUUUAUUUAAGGAUUAGGUGGCUGCAAUUAGAAGCAGACGUUACUCUUGAUAAAAUAGUCACGAAUUUCGUAGAAUUUCUCGGAAUAAUUACUGUCUUGGUCAAAAGAAGGCAAGCAUUAUUCUUUAAAUGAACAUUAACCUUUAUGCACGAUAAUAGUCCAAUUCGAAAUUUAUUUAAUGUGAUGUAAGGAACGGAAUAUUAAACGGGGAGUUAUUUUAUAAAAUGUUAAGUAUUUCGAAUUGAAAAAAAGUCGCGCGAAUGGUGUUCAUUUUUGUGACAUUAGCGUGUCUGUUACGCAGCUAAGUUCAUGUUAUAAAUCACGCUUUAAUUCCAUUCGAUUCGAUUUGUAUUUGAAUAGUUUACACUACGAGCAAUUAGUGAUUAUCAAUCGGUAUAAUCUUGUAAUUUUUUAACGGCAUAAAAUAGAUAGACGCGUAAAAACAUCAAAAUAAUUUAUCGCAGUUGUUUUCUCACAGGUGAGACACAAUUCGCGAGCGAGAUAGGUUGAGCGGACUUAUAUGAAAAAAUGUCUAGACGAUGUUAACGCAUUAAUGUAAAACAGCGGAUUGCGAUACAGAUAACGAGUGCGCGCAACACGAGUUUGAAACGAAUUGCCGAGAUCACGACGAGAUAAAAGAAAGGGGAAUCGAGAUAUAAAGAGAGAAAAAAAAUCUCGCGAAUACUGCGAGGAGUACGUGAGGGCAGUACGCGAGGGGAUAUUAAUGCGCUCUCGGAUCGGACUUGGCCGGAGGCAGAGCAACGCUAACCGAACUUCAAUCGAAUUAACAUACGAAUGGCACUCGAGUCAAUUGCGAAACUUUCAUUUUAGCCGAGCAACAGCCUAAAAAAGCCUCUCCGCUUUCUGUUUUCGACAAAUACUUCGCUACGGAGUCGUGUUCGACAACUUUGCGAUUAUUCGCUAGAUGACUAGAAAUUUAAUUAUUUAUUUAAAAUUGGUCUUAACGUAUUAUCUUUCAGUUACUUAAUAGGACGAUAUUUGACAAGUUGAUGUUUUUGCAAAAAAAAAAAAAAA